AAAAAUUGAAUUUAUAUACAAAAAACGUUUUGUAAAAUCCAAAAUCGAUUUUAUAAAUACAAAAAUAAGAAAAAAUUUAUAAAAAAGUUCUAAAUCAAUUCAACACAACAAAUUAUCCAACCAAAUCACAAUUCUAAACCUAUUACACAACCAAAUCACAAUCCUAACCAAUCACCCUAACAAAAAUCUAACAAAAAACUUCUAAAAUCAUCAAAUCUACUUAAAAACCUAACAAAUAGAACCUAAGAGAGUGGGAUAGGGUCCUUACAUGAUUUGUGUAGGAAUAGAGAGGAUUCGCCAGAGAGAUCGUCGCGAGAGAAGGGGGAAAUCGCCAGAAAAAGAGAGAGAUCGCCGGAGGAAGAAGAGAGAAAUGGGGGAAGAAGAAGUGUUUCGUGUCUAUAAAACCUAGGGUCCGACGGAAACUAUCCGUAGGAAUUUCCUCGGUAUUUUUAAUUUCAAUUUUCGCGAAAUAUUUGGCGGCUUGUUUGCCCGG
rnacentral:lncRNA from 1 species